rnacentral:rRNA from 1 species
AACGAACGCUGGCGGCAGGCUUAACACAUGCAAGUCGAGCGCCCCGCAAGGGGAGCGGCAGACGGGUGAGUAACACGUGGGAAUCUACCUAUCUCUAGGGAAUAACUCAGGGAAACUUGUGCUAAUACCCUAUACGCCCUUCGGGGGAAAGAUUUAUCGGAGAUAGAUGAGCCCGCGUUGGAUUAGCUAGUUGGUGAGGUAAGAGCUCACCAAGGCGACGAUCCAUAGCUGGUCUGAGAGGAUGAUCAGCCACACUGGGACUGAGACACGGCCCAGACUCCUACGGGAGGCAGCAGUGGGGAAUAUUGGACAAUGGGCGCAAGCCUGAUCCAGCCAUGCCGCGUGUGUGAUGAAGGCCUUAGGGUUGUAAAGCACUUUCACCGAUGAAGAUAAUGACGGUAGUCGGAGAAGAAGCCCCGGCUAACCUUCGUG